rnacentral:lncRNA from 1 species
UACUAUUGAUAAUGAGGUGAAUAGCACUGUAUAUGUACGUAUAUUUGUUCUGAAACGAUUAAGUUGGUAAUUAUUGGAGAUAUUGUUAUAAUUUAUAAACAUUUUCGAUUAUGCUCGUUAGGAAGAACAAAACCUCAUAUACAGAUGGGUAGAUGCUGUGUUGACAAAUGAACUACGUAAUAUUUUACUUACUUCCGGAUCUUCAUGUUGACUACCAAUGAUUAUGAAUUGGUCACCGAUCUGAUCGUAAAACUGUACUGCAUUUAUUUCUCUGUACUAUUCAACCUAACCAAACGAAGUUUUCCUUCUAUUUGGGAAUACUAUUUACUGUCUAACGGCAAAGUAAGUAUGCCAUAUAGCUAGCAAUUUGUGUUGUAAAGGUCUAGCUCACAAUCGAUUUGUAGCACCUUUCUGCAAGAAGAUAGAUUACAAUAAAAGCUCCCCAAACUUGACGAGAUUCAAUUAAUUUCGCAAAUAAUUUUAUGGUUAACGAUGGCCGGGACCUCUCUCGCUGGGUCCAGGAUGAGUCCUCGGAAAAUAUACGACGUGUCUCGCGCGUCGUCUGCUACCGUAUGAAGAAACAUCCUGAUGAGACAUGUCAUUGCCCAUUGAAUUUGCUCCGGCACCAGCAGUUGCACCCGCUGGAGUUAGGAACAUGCCAUGCACAGAAAUAAAUUGUGCACCAAUUAAUAAGAAUAAUACAAAUACCAGCACGAAACAAGUAUUCUUCAUUAUUUAUAUGCCUUUUAUUUUUCCUCCUGUACGUAGUUUCUUUUUUCUCUCACCCUCUCAAGUGAAAAAAGUCGUUUUGAUGUAUUUU